ensembl:lncRNA
AAGGUUUUAAAACAUGUAAAUAUAUAAAUAAGCAAAAUUGAUAUAUUAAAAGGAGCCGUAAUAAGCCUCUCACCCUUUCAAGUAUAAAACAAACUCCUCUGAGGCAAUUUAGUCUCUCAGAAACUUCAAUAUAGGUCAAUGCUCUGUUUAAUUUGCAGCCCGUUCAAAAUCGUUGCGCGCCAUUAUGGAGAUGUAAGAAGUGUCACAUUUACCUUUUAUGGAGUCAUAUCCCAUCUUUCUCGAGGACAUAAUGACGGGACAUAAUGAGCUUGGCUUAAAUGUUUACGCAGCAAUCAUUUCUUUAACGAUUUUCAUUUUCAUUUCAUUUUCAUUCUAUAUGUUUUCGCAUGACGGUAAAAAUUUCCCCUCAUCAGCUCUACACUUACACUUUCUAUACAUUUACAUGAAUUUAGAUAACACGGUAAAUGGUAUACAGCCGUGCUAAGCUUCAUGUAGUCAUAUAAUUAAUACAGCAUGCUCACACUGACCUCUACAGCCCCGUGUGUAUUGCAAUGACCUCUGAACUGCCCGCUUUUUUUUUCCUCCCACUGCGAAAGGAAAUGGUUUAAGAUGCAAACAGUGUAGCAGACAUCCUGACACGAGUAAACACCUUAGAGUUUAAAAAAAAAAAAAAGCUGAUUAUCCUCUUGGUGUGAGCUGCCGGAUGUCAAUGUCAUCCGGUCAGCCGUUGCACCGGCUACAGUGCGUGAUCACGCUUUAAUUCUUCAUAGACUUGGAGUAAGGGGGGGGGAAUGGUGUCACAUGUAACCAAACCAAAUUACCUUUUAGGUUUUUUCUACUACUACCACUCCCAAUGCAACACAAUCAGUAUGUUUACAUGGACAGCAGUAAUCUAAUUAUUGACCUUAUUCUCAAUAAGACAAUAUUCUGAUUAAGGUGUUUACAUAAGUCGCUUUUAGAAUAUUCCUUUCAUGUUCCCGUUUUACACGUUAUAGAACAUAGAGCGAUUAACGGCACACGUCAUUACGUCACCGCGCCACGCCGUCCGACGUCCCUCCAGAAUUUCACCUGUCGACAUACAGUUCGUCUUCGUUAUGGUCCCGUAUACAGUUUUGGGCGUUUCAUUUUUUAUUUCACGAAAGCUUCAAGUGCAGUUAAUUAUUCGUCAUGCUGUACGUGCUAAUAGACGACUGCUUGAAGCCGUGGGCUGCGUCCCGAACCGCGUACUUACCUACUAUAUAGUAGACGAGAUACAUGUAUUUCACCAACUAUAUACUGUAGUAGGUAAGUACGCGGUUUCGAACACAGCCGAGCCGAGGGUCAGCGCUGCCGUGUGUGUGUACGUGUCUUGUCGCACAACGCGGUGAAAACUCCCACACGACGUUAAUAGUGUGAUUAAGGUGUGUACAUGUCUGUAAUACACGUCGAUAAUGCGACUAAAGCAGGAGUACUCCACGUCUUAAUUCCAUUUGUGUUUACUUCGAGUACGACUUUAGUCGGAUUAAGGUCAUCAGAAAUCGCUGUUUACAUGCAAGUUUCUUAAUCAGAGAAUCGUUUAUUGCUGUAUUAAUACACUUUACUAGUAAAUCAGAAAAUUAUCAAAUUUUCGUGGGUGUCGUCAAGUCUCCACAUGCAUACCAUUCUAUUAUUCGGUUAUUUCUCCGCUGAGAAAUAGGGAUUGUUUAUAUUUACGAGUACGGAUUUUUACCAUGUUCAAAAUCUUUUGUUUAAGGCAAACAAUCGAUCGGGGUGUUAUAAAUAAACUAAAAGCGAUUUAUGCAUUACGGCAUAUAGCGUGCAUUAAGGUGUAUUGAACUGGUGAUGUAUUUGAGGGUGGAGUGAUGACAUGAUGCAUGAUCCACAUGCUUGUGGAUUGUAGCGAAAACACGCCUUUAUCACCUCAAAAACAUACCAGAAAGAAAUGUAUUCUCACUAAGUUCUAUUUUUAUAAGCAGAAACCUUACAGAAAUCUCGAGCCUCGCAAGUUUACGUACAGCGCACUUAAAUAUAAAGUCAGAUGUAAAUGUAAAUAAACCCACCCCACGGACUUCUCUCUGAAUCUGCUGUGAUACAUUUGGCUGUCUAGGGAACAGGCAUGCUGGCUAUACUGUAUAUACUCUACACAUAUAAUGAACAGCAACACUCUACUCCUCUGAGAGCCUGAUGAAACAUCACGGGUAUGUUUGAACACCAGGCAUUCUCAAUGUGACGUUCAAGGAGGUUCGCGUUCAUAGGAAAACCGCAUGAGUGCAUCCAGUGCUGAUUGAGUUCAGAUUCUCCAGGACGGCUAAUCAAAUUAAUUCCAGCCGACCUCUUCUCUAAGCCUGAUUAUUCAGGGUAAUCUUUGUUGUUUGUGUGCAGCUCAUGCUAUGUGGGCCAUCUGCCAUGGCUGUGCAACCUGAAUCUUUUACAUCUCUACCUGGCAUACCAUUUGUGGAGGAAAAAACUAAAAACGUCCUCAUCUUCUACCCGCUCGGUUCUUGCAAGCCACCGUGGUUAUAACAUGUUCCCCCCUCCCUCGCACGCUCUCUCGCUCUGUCUCAUUACCAGGAAUAGCAGGUACACUCCGCUCCUAAAGUAUUGGAACAUCAAGGCCAAUUCUAUCGUUUUCACUAUACAUUGAAGACAUUUGGGUUUGAGAUCAAAGGAUGAAUAUGAGACUAUAGAUCAGAACUUCAGCUUUCAUUUCCUUAUAUUUACAUCUAGAUGUGUUAAACAACCCAGAACACGGCACCUUUGGUGGCAGACAACCCCUUUUUUCAAGUGAUCUAAAAUAUUGGAACAUGUGACUGAUAGGUGUUUCUUGCAGCUGAGGUCUGCCCUGUUAUAUUGAUUGUUUAAAGAAUCAAUAGGUCUGAAUGCCUACUCUUGGUUUGGAGUCCUAGGUUUCGCCUGUGAAGACGGCAUUUGUUGUUAAAAAGGAUAAACCAACAUGAAGACCAGAGAGAUGUAUAUGGGAGAAAAGCAAGCCAUUUCGACUGUAAAAUGCUGUAUAAAUGCUCUAGCAAGGCUAAGUUUACGGCCUUUCAAAGAUAAAAAGACACCAGGUGAGCAUAAGAUUUCGUUCCCACAUCAGAUUAUCUGCUGGUAAUAAACGUCUUAAAGCAACUACCCGAUUGGCGCGAUCAUUGGGAGAUGGUGAGUUCGAACACUGAUGAUGACAGAUAUCUGUAGUCGGGAACCAUGGGAGCAAAACUUCCUGUGGGAUGGAUGCCAUUUCGACUGUAAAAUGCUGUAUAAAUGCUCUAGCAAGGCUAAGUUUACGGCCUUUCAAAGAUAAAAAGACACCAGGUGAGCAUAAGAUUUCGUUCCCACAUCAGAUUAUCUGCUGGUAAUAAACGUCUUAAAGCAACUACCCG